GCAAGUCGAGCGGAUCGAUGGGAGCUUGCUCCCUGAGAUCAGCGGCGGACGGGUGAGUAACACGUGGGUAACCUGCCUGUAAGACUGGGAUAACUCCGGGAAACCGGGGCUAAUACCGGAUAACUCAGUUCCUCGCAUGAGGAACUGUUGAAAGGUGGCUUUUCGCUACCACUUACAGAUGGACCCGCGGCGCAUUACCUAGUUGGUGAGGUAACGGCUCACCAAGGCAACGAUGCGUAGCCGACCUGAAAGGGUGAUCGGCCACACUGGGACUGAAACACGGCCCAAACUCCUACGGGAGGCAGCAGUAGGGAAUCUUCCGCAAUGGACAAAAGUCUGACGGAGCAACGCCGCGUGAGUGAAAAAGGUUUUCGGAUCGUAAAACUCUGUUGUUAGGGAAAAACAAGUGCCGUUCGAAUAGGGCGGCACCUUGACGGUACCUAACCAAAAAGCCACGGCUAACUACUUGCCACCAGCCGCGGUAAUACGUAGGUGGCAAGCGUUGUCCGGAAUUAUUGGGCGUAAAGCGCGCGCAGGUGGUUUCUUAAGUCUGAUGUGAAAGCCCACGGCUCAACCGUGGAGGGUCAUUGGAAACUGGGGAACUUGAUUGCAAAAAA
rnacentral:rRNA from 1 species